AGUGAACGCUGGCGGUAGGCCUAACACAUGCAAGUCGAACGGCAGCACAGUAAGAGCUUGCUCUUACGGGUGGCGAGUGGCGGACGGGUGAGGAAUACAUCGGAAUCUACUUUUUCGUGGGGGAUAACGUAGGGAAACUUACGCUAAUACCGCAUACGACCUACGGGUGAAAGUAGUGGAUCUUCGGACCUUGCGCGAUUGAAUGAGCCGAUGUCGGAUUAGCUAGUUGGCGGGGUAAAGGCCCACCAAGGCGACGAUCCGUAGCUGGUCUGAGAGGAUGAUCAGCCACACUGGAACUGAGACACGGUCCAGACUCCUACGGGGGGCAGCAGUGGGGAAUAUUGGACAAUGGGCGCAAGCCUGAUCCAGCCAUACCGCGUGGGUGAAGAAGGCCUUCGGGUUGUAAAGCCCUUUUGUUGGGAAAGAAAAGCAGCAGGUUAAUACCCCGCUGUUCUGACGGUACCCAAAGAAUAAGCACCGGCUAACUUCGUG
rnacentral:rRNA from 1 species